GAUGAACGCUGGCGGCGUGCCUAAUACAUGCAAGUCGAGCGAACGGACGAGAAGCUUGCUUCUCUGAUGUUAGCGGCGGACGGGUGAGUAACACGUGGAUAACCUACCUAUAAGACUGGGAUAACUUCGGGAAACCGGAGCUAAUACCGGAUGAUAUUUUGAACCGCAUGGUUCAAAAGUGAAAGACGGUCUUGCUGUCACUUAUAGAUGGAUCCGCGCUGCAUUAGCUAGUUGGUAAGGUAACGGCUUACCAAGGCAACGAUGCAUAGCCGACCUGAGAGGGGGAACGGCCACACUGGAAAUGAGACACGGGCCAGAAUCCUAAGGGAGGCAGGAGUAGGGAAUCUUCCGGAAUGGGCGAAAGCCUGAAGGAGGAACGCCGCGUGAGUGAUGAAGGUCUUCGGAUCGUAAAACUCUGUUAUUAGGGAAGAACAUAUGUGUAAGUAACUGUGCACAUCUUGACGGUACCUAAUCAGAAAGCCACGGCUAACUACGU
rnacentral:rRNA from 1 species